GAAGGAUUGAAACAUCGAGUUCAAAACUUGCAUUGUUCUUUCAACUUGACAUGGAGGUGACACGCGCAUGUUACAAAAACUCACAUGUAAUUUUAUUCCUAGAUUAGAGUCUUUUCCAGUACCAUUAUGGCAACCUCAACAUAUUCUGAGUGUGACAGCUGCGAUGCCUGGUUUUUACCAGAAAGGACCACAAGUCCUAGUUGCUACAUAAACUACUCAUGAAAUCUGCCCCUUGAUGUGGGCACUUGAUUCCAGAAUGGACACGACAAGGCAAUUAGAAAAUAAUGAGGAGAUUGCUGGUUCAUCUGAACUUCCGGUGGAUAUCAGAGAUUGGGCUCCAGAUCAUGUGAGACAGUGGAUGAUUGAGAUAAAAGUGGACAAGGAAG
rnacentral:lncRNA from 1 species